GAAGCGCUACACUGGCCUGGAUGAUCUGUUCUACACUGCAGCAGCUCUGGACCCCCGCUUCAAGUCUCUGCCCUUCCUGACUGACCAUGAUGCUGAGCGGACGUUCACAAGCAUAACAGCAGAAGCUACAUCCCUGCAUAACAAGGCAACAGGGGAUCCAAUUCAGAGAGGCCCACUGCAGACAAAUCCAUGUCAGACUGAACCUGCCCUUGGAGAUCUGGACAUUAGCAUUGAUGCACCCCAGACCCAAGAUGAGCCUAAAGAUGAUGACCCUCCUCUCAAAAAGAAGAAAAUGUCAGCGUUGGACCAGCUGUUGGGAAAAGACUUUGAAGUGAGGAUGGGAGCUAGAUCUGUAAGAGACAAGGCCAACGAAGAAGUCAAGAGGUACAGAGAGCGUGAUCUGUUGUCCCUGCAAAAAAACCCACUGCAGUGGUGGAAAGAGCAGCAGGACUUGCCACUGCUGUCGUCUCUGGCUAAAAAAUACCUCUGUAUCCCGGCCACCAGUGUGGCAUCUGAGCGGGUGUUUAGUACUGCGGGAGAUAUUGUUUCCUCUAAACGCAGUCUACUCAAACCUGAGCACGUGGAUCAAUUGAUAUUCCUGAAGAAAAACCUG